rnacentral:rRNA from 1 species
CUACGGGAGCUCCAGUGGGGAAUAUUGGACAAUGGGGGAAACCCUGAUCCAGCAAUGCCGCGUGUGUGAAGAAGGCCUGCGGGUUGUAAAGCACUUUCGGUUGGGAGGACUGCUUCUAGCACUAAUAUUGUUGGAAGUUGACGUUACCUUCAGAAGAAGCACCGGCUAACUCCGUGCCAGCAGCCGCGAUAAUACGGAGGGUGCAAGCGUUAAUCGGAAUUACUGGGCGUAAAGCGCGCGUAGGCGGCUAGAUCAGUCGGGUGUGAAAGCCCCGGGCUUAACCUGGGAACUGCAUCCGAUACUGUCUAGCUUGAGUACAGGAGAGGAGAGUGGAAUUCCACAUGUAGCGGUGAAAUGCGUAGAUAUGUGGAGGAACACCAAUGGCGAAGGCAGCUCUCUGGCCUGAUACUGACGCUGAGGUGCGAAAGCGUGAGGAGCAAACAGGAUUAGAUACCCGGGUAGUC